AAAGGGAUUUCACCUCGUCCUUGAGAGCAACACGGGGAGCGCGAGCGAGCGGGCGAGCGAGAGACGGGGGGAGAGAGAGGGACACGCGCGCGCACACACACACACACCGGCACACACGCACACACACAGACACACACACACAGAGUGAAAAAGGCGAGCCACCAAAACCCAUCUCCAGUCUCCUCCCGGGGGCCCCCAGCCCGCCUCUGUGCCACUUUGCAUCCCACGCCGGAGGAGGCAUUAACGAGACCGGUGCUGCAUUCUUACAACCCUAAAAUCCAUCUGCUCUUAACACACCGUCAAAAAGAGGGGGAAAUGCAUCUCCGAGGGAGUGCUCGAGAGAAGAUAAUGGAAUGGUCUGAUGUAAUCCCAUACAAAUUAUUCCUCAUGAUGUGAAAAUGCUUUUACAGGGACCUGGGAGAUUUCUAAACUGAGCUUUUUAAACGGUCCAAGGUGUAGAGCCAUACUUCAGGAGGAUCCUCAGAAGUUUUGGACAAGCCUCCCCAAAUGUGGCAGGUGCUGUGCUGGCCAUUGGUGACCCAAAGAUGAUGAAAAAUAUGUUCCUGCCCACAAGGAGUUAGCGACCUACUGGGCUUUCCUCUUGCUGAUGACAUGAUUCCUGUUUGAAUCUGUUGACAAGAUUCUGAAAGCUGAACAGAGAAUUCUGGCACUGCACUGGGUAGGAAAAAGCAUUUCAAGAAAUAGAUAAUAUCAAGGACAUCAGGACACCGGGAGUGGGAGAGAUUGGACUGGGAGACUCAGCAGGUCAGGACAUUUACAUUACCAUUUGCUGGUCAUUCUUUUGCCAUCAGUUUUACAAUUCUCAAAUCUCUUGCCACUUGCUUAUUUCUU
rnacentral:lncRNA from 1 species